GGAAUGCGAAAACGAUAGCGGAGUGAGCUUAACGGGUGUGAUAUGGCGGCUCCAGAUCAGCUCCGAGGAAAUAAGGAUUCUGGAACAAGUUAAAAGAAUCUACUUAAAUGACAUUUUCAACCACGUGAACCUGGUUUGGCUCCAGAUGUCUUACUACUCUCAGAAUGAUGACCCAUUUUUCCAGUGUAUGAGGCUUAUUGCAUGAUUUAUUCGCUUGUUUAAUCUUGCUCUUAAAUUGAUACAAUCACUGAGUAGACAUCUCACAGAACACUUCCCCCUUCGGUUUAACUACAGAAGACAAGAAAUCCGAACAAGGUGGAAGGCAUGAGUUUUAACUGAAAUUGUUUAGCUUCGGGGAAAUUUUGCUGACGACUGUCCCACUAUCCACAGUGCUUCUUUUUGAGGAGAGGAGGGGAUAUGGAAACAUGCAGCUUCUAUAAAAACGGAUUCAAUUUAUUCCAAAA